AUGGGCCAGGAGGACCUGGCGCUGCCUUCGCUGCGUGCCAGGUUCCGCCAUGGCUGCGCGCUGGCGGCCAUCCUAGUGCUCGCGGCAGCGGCUGCGCCGAGCGUGGCUGAUGGGUCGUCGUGCGACCUGUUCCAGGGGAGGUGGGUCGCCGACGCGUCCUACCCUCUGUACGACGCGGCCAGCUGCCCCUUCGUGCCCGACGUCUUCGACUGCCGCCGCAACGGCCGCCCGGACGCCGCCUACCUCAAGUUCCGGUGGAGCCCCGCCGCCUGCCGCCUCCCAAGGUUCGACGGGCUGGAAUUCCUGGAGACGUGGCGCGGGAAGACGGUGAUGUUCGUGGGGGACUCGCUGAGCAUGAACCAAUGGGUCUCCCUCGCCUGCAUGCUCCACGCCGCCGCGCCGGAUCCCGCCCGCGUCUCCUUCAGCACCGGCGACCCCGUCUCCUCCGUCCGCUUCGAGGACUACGACCUGUCGAUGGUGCUCUACUUCAGCAGGUUCCUGGUGGACGUGGUGCAGGAGGACGUCGGCCGCGUCCUCAAGCUCGACUCCAUGCAGGGCGCGGGCUCCUGGCUCGGCGCCCACCUGCUCGUCUUCAACACGUGGCACUGGUGGACCUACAAGGGCGCCAGCCAAGUGUGGGACUACAUGCAGGAGGGGAACAGAACGUACAACGACAUGGACCGGCUGGCCGCCUUCUCCAAGGGCCUCGCCACAUGGGCAAGGUGGGUCGACGACAACGUCGACGCGUCGCUCACCAGGGUCAUCUACCAAGGCGUCUCCCCAAGCCACUACACGUCCAAGGAGCAGGAGAGCGACGGGGCGGCGCCGGCGUCGGGGGGCUGUUUCCAGCAGACACGGCCGCGGCAGGUGGCCACGGACGGGGACGAGAGGGUGUCCCCGGAGCAGGUGGUCGUGCGGGGCCUGAUCGCGUCCAUGUCGACGCCGGUGUCCCUGCUGGACAUCACCUCGCUCUCGCAGCUCAGGAUCGACGCGCACCCGUCGGUUUACGGCGGGCCUGGCCGGGACGGCAUGGACUGCACGCACUGGUGCAUCGCCGGGCUGCCGGACGCGUGGAACCACAUCCUCAACGCGAUGCUGCUGCAGCACGCAUGA
rnacentral:rRNA from 1 species